rnacentral:misc_RNA from 1 species
UUUGUGAAAACCCUUACUGGGAAGACCAUCACUCUAGAGGUGGAAAGUUCAGACACUAUUGACAACGUGAAAGCCAAGAUUCAGGAUAAGGAAGGGAUCCCACCUGACCAGCAGAGGCUCAUCUUUGCUGGAAAGCAACUUGAGGAUGGCCGUACACUGGCCGAUUACAACAUCCAGAAGGAAUCCACUCUUCACUUGGUGCUUCGUUUGAGGGGUGGCAUGCAGAUUUUUGUGAAGACUCUCACUGGCAAGACAAUCACACUGGAAGUUGAGAUUUCAGACACCAUUGACAAUGUGAAAGCUAAGAUUGAGGAUAAGGAAGGCAUACCCCCUGACCAGCAGAGGUUGAUCUUUGCUGGCAAACAGCUUGAGGAUGGUCGCACCCUUGCCGACUACAACAUCCAGGAAGAGUCCACCCUCCACUUGGUUCUCCGACUUCGUGGUGGGAUGCAAAUCUUUGUUAAGACUCUCACCGGGGACACUAUUGACAAUGUGAAAGCUAAGAUCCAGGAUAAGGAGGGCAUCCCUCCAGACCAGCAGAGGUUGAUCUUUGCAGGCAAACAGCUUGAGGAUGGUCGAACACUUGCUGACUCCAGAAAGAGUCCACUCUCCACUUGGUGCUCCGACUCCGUGGUGGCAUGCAGAUUUUUGUCAAGACACUCACUGGAAAGACCAUCACAUUGGAGGUUGAGAGCUCGGAUACAAUUGACAAUGUCAAGUCCAAGAUACAAGACAAGGAAGGGAUUCCCCCAGAC